GUAGGGAAUAUUGGGCAAUGGAUGCAAGUCUGACCCAGCCAUCCCGCGUGCCGGAAGAAGGCUCUCAGGGUUGUAAACGGCUUUUGACGGUGAAGAAUCGACAGGAUGCGUCCUGUUUUGACGGUAGCCGUUGAAUAAGCACCGGCUAACUCCGUGCCAGCAGCCGCGGUAAUACGGAGGGUGCGAGCGUUGUCCGGAUUUAUUGGGUUUAAAGGGUGCGUAGGCUGGAAGGUCAGUCAGCGGUGAAAAGCUGUCGCUUAACGAUAGUCUUGCCGCAGAUACUUCCUUUCUUGGAUGAGGAGGAGGCCACUGGAACGGAUGGUGUAGCGGUGAAAUGCAUAGAUAUCAUCCAGAACACCGAUUGCGAAGGCAGGUGGCUGUACCUUAAUCGACGCUGAUGCACGAAAGCAUGGGGAGCAAACAGGAUUAGAAACCCCUGUAGUCC
rnacentral:rRNA from 1 species